GACGUAGGGCGCGAGCGUUGUCCGGAUUUAUUGGGCGUAAAGAGCUCGUAGGCGGUCUGUCGCGUCUGCUGUGAAAACUCGGGGCUUAACCCCGGGCCUGCAGUGGGUACGGGCAGACUAGAGUGCGGUAGGGGAGACUGGAAUUCCUGGUGUAGCGGUGAAAUGCGCAGAUAUCAGGAGGAACACCGGUGGCGAAGGCGGGUCUCUGGGCCGUAACUGACGCCUGGAGGAGCGAAAGCGUGGGGAGCGAACAGG
rnacentral:rRNA from 1 species